UACGUAGGGUGCAAGCGUUGCCCGGAUUUAUUGGGCGUAAAGGGCGCGUAGGCGGUCACGCACGUCCGUUGUGAAAUCGCUCGGCUCAACUGGGCGGGGUCAGCGGAUACGGUGUGGCUGGAGCAAGAUAGAGGCGGGUGGAAUUGCGAGUGUAGAGGUGAAAUUCGUAGAUAUUCGGAAGAACACCAGUGGCGAAGGCGACUCGCUGGACAAGUAUUGACGCUGAGGUGCGAAAGCGUGGGGAGCAAACAGG
rnacentral:rRNA from 1 species